UACAGAGGGUGCAAGCGUUAAUCGGAAUUACUGGGCGUAAAGCGUGCGUAGACGGUUACAUAAGUCGGGUGUGAAAGCCCCGGGCUCAACCUGGGAAUUGCAUUCGAGAACUGCGUAGCUAGGGUGCGGAAGAGGGAAGCGGAAUUUCCGGUGUAGCGGUGAAAUGCGUAGAUAUCGGAAAGGAACACCAGUGGCGAAAGCGGCUUCCUGGUCCAGCACCGACGUCAGGCACGAAAGCGUGGGGAGCAAAC
rnacentral:rRNA from 1 species